rnacentral:lncRNA from 1 species
UUAGGUACUGGAGAACUGGCUGAGAACAGAGCUGGAACUAAAGACUUUGGUCAAAAUUAGGAACAGUUAUUGCCCUCUCACUUAGGCUGAUUAAAAUUGAAGCUACCUAUUCUAGCUCUCUUGUUCUGCCUUUUUAUCUUUGAUCUUAGCCUCUUCUAUCUACAGAUCAUGGACCAUGAGCCUGGAUAUGUCCAUCUUUUUAAUAAACAUUGUUGUUCUUCACUCUUUAACCACAUUAUCUGACACCCUAAAUACGAACUUGCUCAUUUUGGACCUACUGU